rnacentral:sRNA from 1 species
ACUUCCCUCCCUCCCUCUCUCCCCAGCUGCCUCCUCCUCUUCUCUCCCCGCUCUCCUUCCCCUUUCACCCCAUCCCCUGCCCUGGCUGCAACCAUGAGGGUCUUGGCCUGCCUCCUUGCGGCCCUGGUGGGGAUCCAGGCUGUUGGUAAGUGCCCAGACUCCUCCCAUCUGCCCCCCUCCCCGCACCAGGCCUCCCCCUUCUGCCCAUCCAGGCCUGGCCUCACCCACACUGGGUCCCCGGCCCAUCCAAAUUCCACUGUGACCUUGGCCCCAGCUCCACAAGGGAAUCCCCCAGGUGUCUGGCCGCAUCUCUCUGAGCACCCAGGAGUCUGGGCCCAGGGGCCAGUGAGCAGGGCCACUGGCCUACAGACAGUACCUGCAGGACAGCCACCUGCCCCUACAGUUGCCCUGGCCUUAGGGCCCCCAGGAUGCCCCUCCCCAGUCACAGCCAUUCCUCCAACCCUCAGAGCGCCUGCGCCUGGCCGAUGGCCCCCAUGGGUGCGCUGGCCGCCUGGAGGUCUGGCAUGGCGGGCGCUGGGGCACCGUGUGUGAUGACGGCUGGGACCUGCGUGAUGCCGCCGUGGCCUGCCGGCAGCUGGGCUGCGGAGGGGCACUGGCCGCCCCGGGAGGCGCCUUCUUCGGGGAGGGGGCAGGGCCUGUGUGGCUCAGCGAGCUGGCUUGCCGGGGCAACGAGGGGCAGCUGGGCCUCUGCCACCACCGGGGCUGGAAGGCCCACAUCUGCUCCCAUGAGGAAGACGCGGGCGUCGUCUGCGCAGGUCAGCGCGUGGCUAACUCCAGGGAUGACUCAACAUCUCCCCUGGAUGGGGCUCCCUGGCCAGGGCUGUUGCUGGAGCUGAGCCCCAGCACGGAGGAGCCCCUGGUGACACAUGCCCCCCGCCCAGCUGGGAACCCCCAGAACGCCUCCCGGAAGAAGAGCCCCCGGCCCAAGCAGGCCAAGUCCACCCGGGCCCCUCUGCUGACGACAGGAGCCCCCCGCCAAGAGCGGCUGCGCCUGGUCUCUGGCCCCCACAGGUGCGCCGGACGCCUGGAGGUCUGGCACGGCGGGCGCUGGGGCACCGUAUGUGACGACGGCUGGGACCUACGCGACGCUGCUGUAGCCUGCCGGGAACUGGGCUGUGGGGGGGCGCUGGCUGCCCCCGGCGGUGCCAGAUUCGGGCCUGGUGCAGGGCCCGUGUGGAUGGACGAUGUGGGGUGUGGAGGAGGAGAACAGGCCCUCCGAGACUGCCCCCGAAGCCCCUGGGGCCGGAGCAACUGUGACCACAGCGAGGAUGCGGGGCUGGUCUGCACCGGUACGUCGGGCUGGGGCCUGGCCCCCUCCUGUCUUCCUCAGACCCCAGCUUCCUCUUGCCCCUCCAGGAAGCUGCAGCGGGCCUGCUCCCAGCUCUGCCUCCUGCCCGCCUGCUCUCUGCAUGCCCAGCGCCCACUCACCACGCUCUCCAGCCCCUCCUUCCACAGCUCCUGCCGUUCUCCUUGCCAGGAAUGGGAGGAGCAGGCUUGAGCCUUGGGCUAGUACUCAGCCCUGUCCCGGGGCCUAGGCCAGUGACCGUUUGUUUAAGCCUCAGUUUUCCUGAAGGAGCGAUGGAGCUAAGAAUGCCUGCCUCAGGCUUGAACCAAGUCCUGGAACGCAAGAAGCCCUGCCUGCCCUCUGCCACUGGGCUGGCCACGGCAGGGGACCCUCUCGGAGACCCCUUGUCUCUGUGGCCAACCUCUGCUCCUUCCCCAUCCUCAAGGGAGCUGGUGGGAAGGAGGGAGGGAGGGCGGUGACUUGGGGGCAUGGAGGGAGACUGAGGCAGGGUGGGGACACCCACGGGUGAGCCUCCAUCUCCCCUCAUUCACGCCCCCUCAGCACGGGGUCUCCUCCCCUCAUGUCUCCCAGGGGGGUCCCUCCCCUCUCCUGUCCCCCCUUGGACCUGGGAUAGAACCCAGCAAACAGCUGUUGGGGGGUGUUAGGUGAGAGCUCAGGGGCUCCCUCCCUCCUUCUUUCCUUCCUUCCUCCCUCCCUCUUUCCCUUUCUCUUUCCUUUCUUUCCUUCCACAAAUCUUUACACACCACCACGGCAGGGCCUGGAAACCACAGGAGAAAGGCCAGGCCCCACCCUGCUGGACUGCCCGAUCCAUUGACUGUAGGAGGCCGGCAGGCAGAGGGCACCCACCUGGCAUUUCAUCGGCGUUGGGGUGGGGACAGUACAGGGGCUGCAGGCAAAGCUGGGUGCCUGCCCAGGACGGGUAGGAAAUGCUGACAUCAGUGGGUAUCCAGGGGGAAGAGAAGAGAGAAAGAGGCUGACCCUAGUCUCUGCUGUAUGCUGGGCCCUGCGCUGUGCACGUUACCUGGAGCCGCUCUGAGCCUCCCGCAGCCCGGACGGGGUGGAUCCUCAUCCCUCUCUUCACAGAUGUGGGGCCGAGGCUCAGAGAGGUGACGUAAAUGGCCCAAGACCCAGGUGCCUAGCAAGCCCCAGCCCCAGCCGCUGACCCUUCUGGGUCUGUAUAGACCCACGCUCCAUGCCUGUCCCACUGCACAGUCGGCCAUAGGGACGUGGUGGGGACACGGAGGUCAGAGUGGGAGUGAGCAGCAGAGAAGGCUUGUAUGGGGUGGGGGUGGUGCCUUCGUGUGCCUAGUGUACAAGCUGUGGGGGAAGAAGUGGGACCUUCAGAGCAGAGUUCAUUGGAGGGAAGUUGAGGCUCUGGAGAGGAGAGGGUGAAGGUGCCAAGAAAGGAAACAAAUGAACUAAGGCGCCCGGUGAAGCUGGGAGCUUCGCCAGCAUCUGAUUUAAUUCUCAUGGCAACCCUGGGAGGGAGACGCUCCCCUCCCCUGUCUGCAGAUGAGGAAAAGCAGACAGGUGUGUUAGACUCCUCCCUAGUUCUGUGCUCUUCUCUAGAACAGUGACUGGGGGCAAUUCUGCACCUGCCUCGUUGGGGGACAGAGAGAGGGACUCCAGAGUCCUCCAAUGAUGACUCAACUCUUACCCCAACAGAAAUGUACCCGAAGAGCCAGGCAUGGUUACAGGCUCACACCUGUAGCCCACGUGCUUUGGGAGGAUUUCUUGAGGCCGGGAGUUCAAGACCAGUCUGGGCAACAUAGUGAGACCCUUUCCCUAC